GGACGCCUACGGGACGCAGCAGUGGGGAAUAUUGGACAAUGGGCGCAAGCCUGAUCCAGCAAUGCCGCGUGUGUGAAGAAGGCCUUCGGGUUGUAAAGCACUUUAAGUUGGGAAGAAAAAACUCGCUCUAACACAGUGAGUCUUGACGGUACCGACAGAAUAAGCACCGGCUAACUCUGUGCCAGCAGCCGCGGUAAUACAGAGGGUGCAAGCGUUAGUCGGAUUUACUGGGCGUAAAGCGUGCGUAGGCGGUUCGUUAAGUCGAUUGUGAGAGCCCUGGGCUUAACCUGGGAAUUGCAGUCGAU
rnacentral:rRNA from 1 species